UGAGACUAAGUGUGGGGCUCUUGGAAAUAGC
rnacentral:piRNA from 1 species